rnacentral:sRNA from 1 species
GCUAUUAUGGAGUCCUUUUACAUGUUCUCUCAUUAGCUUAUCUUUUAGGAGCUUUUCCUCCUUAUGUUUGUUUGCCCUUUAAUUUGGGUCUUAGUCUUUGGAGGUUUCUAUGUACCCAUCAAUGUUGUCUCCGAAAAGAUCUUGUUCUUGUCUGUUUUGUAUAUCUCUACCGCAGCUAAUGAAUGAAAUCUUUAGACGGAAAAAAAUAACACUAGACAAGAUGAAAUUAGGUUGAUGAAAUU